GUGAAAACACUUUUCCUCCCCCUCUUCUGGGCUUAACUUCACUCCAGACACCUCCCUCUCCUCUUGUUACUGGUGCAAGUACUUUAAGAGAGCAAGAUGUAUGAUGCAGGAGUUAGAGAGGGUGUUCCCUGGAGUGCAGUUUAUGAGCUAAACUAAAUCCACAGCUGCAGAAGGAAACAACCCCUGCUGCCUCAGCUGAUAUUGCUGGAUCUGGCAGGGAAGACCCUUGUUGAAGAUCCUUGCUGGUGAUCAAGGGGACAUGUAAGAGGUUCAUGGUGAGCAAGAUAUUGGAUGCUUGAAGAACCUUUUCCUUCAUGAAUGAACUUCAUUACUGUACUAAUGACAUCUGACUGAAUUUUGGAGAUAGCUUUGU